UAACACAUUUCAGCUCCCGCUUAACCAAGACCUAUGGGAGGAUAAAUUACGUCUUUUUACCUGUAAGUGAGGGAUUUACAGGAAUAAGUUUCGCA
rnacentral:ncRNA from 1 species